UUUAGAGGUCUUCCUUUUUAGUGUCUUACCUGCUGUUGGAGCAUGCCUAUCCAUGUAUGAUAUUUUUUUACAUUCGAAGAAAGCUUUUCAAGAGAAAAGUACUCUAUCAUCAGUGGAUGUUCAGAUGUUCCCAAUUCUAAGUCUGGGCAAUAAUUAUGCUACACUGGAAGUAUGACUGCUGGUGCUCUAUUUUAUGCAACCGAGUGCUGUGCUUUUGUUGGAUAGCAAAAGCUCUGUUUGAGUUUCCUCAUUUAGUAGUUUUCUCAUUGCCCGAGGUAAUUAGAUGGCUUAAAGAGAGUUUUCUACACUAGUGGUAUUCUGCAACACUGUCAGAGUAAUGAAACUUCCAAUGG